rnacentral:misc_RNA from 1 species
UCAAACUUGGUCAUUUAGAGGAAGUAAAAGUCGUAACAAGGUUUCCGUAGGUGAACCUGCGGAAGGAUCAUUAAUGAAUUAAAUUCUGUCGGGUUGUUGCUGGUCUCUAGGGACAAGUGCACGCUUGACUCAAUUUAUUAACCACCUGUGCACCUUUUGUAGACUUGGAAUAACACUCGAGCUUUUAAUGUCUAGUUAAACUCGGAUUAGAGGGAUUGCUUUCCUAGCUUUCCAUCGAUUUUUCAAGUCUAUGUCUUCUAUUAUACUCUUUUAUUGAUGUAUGUCAGUGGCUUUAUUGAUAAUUACAAUACAACUUUCAACAACGGAUCUCUUGGCUCUCGCAUCGAUGAAGAACGCAGC